UCGUGAGACAGUUCGGUCCCUAUCUGCCGUGGGCGCUGGAGAAUUGAGGGGGGCUGCUCCUAGUACGAGAGGACCGGAGUGGACGCAUCACUGGUGUUCGGGUUGUCAUGCCAAUGGCACUGCCCGGUAGCUAAAUGCGGAAGAGAUAAGUGCUGAAAGCAUCUAAGCACGAAACUUGCCCCGAGAUGAGUUCUCCCUGAGACUUUAAGUCUCCUGAAGGAACGUUGAAGACGACGACGUUGAUAGGCCGGGUGUGUAA
rnacentral:rRNA from 1 species